rnacentral:rRNA from 1 species
GAUGAACGCUAGCUACAGGCUUAACACAUGCAAGUCGAGGGGCAGCACAGAGAUAGCUUGCUAUCUUGGGUGGCGACCGGCGCACGGGUGAGUAACGCGUAUCCAACCUGCCCAUUACUCUGGGAUAGCCUUGCGAAAGUAAGAUUAAUACCGGAUGUUGUUAAAAACCCGCAUGAGUUUUUAACCAAAGAUUUAUUGGUAAUGGAUGGGGAUGCGUGACAUUAGGUAGUAGGUGAGGUAACGGCUCACCUAGCCAUCGAUGGAUAGGGGUUCUGAGAGGAAGGUCCCCCACAUUGGAACUGAGACACGGUCCAAACUCCUACGGGAGGCAGCAGUGAGGAAUAUUGGUCAAUGGCCGGAAGGCUGAACCAGCCAAGUAGCGUGAAGGAUGACUGCCCUAUGGGUUGUAAAACUUCUUUUAUAUGGGAAUAAAAGACAUUACGUGUAGUGUUUUGUAUGUACCUUAUGAAUAAGCAUCGGCUAAUUCCGUGCCAGCAGCCG